UGGCCUCAAAUCAGGUAGGACUACCCGCUGAACUUAAGCAUAUCAUUAAGCGGAGGGAAGGAU
rnacentral:rRNA from 1 species